rnacentral:rRNA from 2 species
AUGGACGAAAGUCUGACGGAGCAACGCCGCGUGAGUGAUGAAGGCCUUCGGGUCGUAAAGCUCUGUUGUUAGGGAAGAACAAGUACCGUUCAAAUAGGGCGGUACCAUGACGGUACCUAACCAGAAAGCCACGGCUAACUACGUGCCAGCAGCCGCGGUAAUACGUAGGUGGCAAGCGUUGUCCGGAAUUAUUGGGCGUAAAGGGCUCGCAGGCGGUUCCUUAAGUCUGAUGUGAAAGCCCACGGCUCAACCGUGGAGGGUCAUUGGAAACUGGGGAACUUGAGUACAGAAGAGGAGAGUGGAAUUCCACGUGUAGCGGUGAAAUGCGUAGAGAUGUGGAGGAACACCAGUGGCGAAGGCGACUCUCUGGUCUGUAACUGACGCUGAGGAGCGAAAGCGUGGGGAGCGAACAGGAUUAGAUACCCUGGUAGUCCACGCCGUAAACGAUGAGUGCUAAGUGUUAGAGGGUUUCCGCCCUUUAGUGCUGCAGCAAACGCAUUAAGCACUCCGCCUGGGGAGUACGGUCGCAAGACUGAAACUCAAAGGAAUUGACGGGGGCCCGCACAAGCGGUGGAGCAUGUGGUUUAAUU